CGGCCGCGUCGACGCAAGUCGAACGAGAACUCGGGCUUCGGCCUGGGGGAAAGUGGCGCACGGGUGCGUAACACGUGGGUAAUCAACCCUUUGGAUCGGGACAACCCGGGGAAACUCGGGCUAAUACCGGAUGUGUCGUGGAGGCCUUAGGUCUUCCACGGGAAAGGCCCGCAAGGGCUACCAGAGGACGAGCUCGCGGCCCAUCAGCUAGUUGGUGAGGUAAUGGCUCACCAAGGCCAAGACGGGUAGCUGGUCUGAGAGGAUGAUCAGCCACACUGGAACUGAGACACGGUCCAGACUCCUACGGGAGGCAGCAGUGGGGAAUAUUGCGCAAUGGGCGAAAGCCUGACGCAGCCACGCCGCGUGUGCGAUGAAGGUCUUCGGAUCGUAAAGCACGUGUGGGGGGAGAAGAACAAAGCUGGUGAAGAGCCAGCCCUGACGGUAUCCCUUAGCAAGCACCGGCUAACUCCGUGCCAGCAGCCGCGGUAAUCGGAGGUGCAAACGUUGCUCGGAAUCACUGGGCGUAAAGCGCACGUAGGCGGUAAG
rnacentral:rRNA from 1 species